rnacentral:rRNA from 1 species
GAGUUUGAUCAUGGCUCAGGAUGAACGCUAGCGGCAGGCUUAACACAUGCAAGUCGAGGGGUAUUCUAGCAAUAGGAGAGACCGGCGCACGGGUGCGUAACGCGUAUGCAAUCUACCUUUCACAGAGGGAUAGCCCAGAGAAAUUUGGAUUAAUACCUCAUAGUAUAAUGACUCGGCAUCGAGAUAUUAUUAAAGUCACAACGGUGAAAGAUGAGCAUGCGUCCCAUUAGCUAGUUGGUAAGGUAACGGCUUACCAAGGCGACGAUGGGUAGGGGUCCUGAGAGGGAGAUCCCCCACACUGGUACUGAGACACGGACCAGACUCCUACGGGAGGCAGCAGUGAGGAAUAUUGGACAAUGG